CAGUAGCCGCGGGAAUACGUAGGUGGCAAGCGUUGUCCGGAAUUAUUGGGCGUAAAGGGCUCGCAGGCGGUUUCUUAAGUCUGAUGUGAAAGCCCCCGACUCAACCGGGGAGGGUCAUUGGAAACUGGGAAACUUGAGUGCAGAAGAGGAGAGUGGAAUUCCACGUGUAGCGGUGAAAUGCGUAGAGAUGUGGAGGAACACCAGUGGCGAAGGCGACUCUCUGGUCUGUAACUGACGCUGAGGAGCGAAAGCGUGGGGAGCGGACAGGAUUAGAUACCCGUGUAGUCCCUGUCUCUUAUAC
rnacentral:rRNA from 1 species